rnacentral:lncRNA from 1 species
AGAGAGAGAGAGAGAGAGAGAGAAAAGGAAAGAGAGAGAGAAGUUCCCUGUACAUUUGACAGUAAAAGAAAAGGUAUGUGGCACACUGCAGAUUCUACCGGAGGACUUCUCCAAAAGGAUUGAAAGAGAAGUUGGCGAAACACGUGUGCAACAUUCGACACCAAUACUCCAAACGGAGAGAAUUAAAAGAGAAUCUGGGGAAAGAGGAGAUCAUCGAACAUAUUGACUUUGCAGAGAACUACAGCAGUGAAAUCCAGGAACCACAACAUUCCAGAAAGAUGACAAAUGGCAGUAAGGAAGAGGAGUUCCAGCCCCUACCCUUCUCCCCCUAGUUCCUCUCUCCUCUCUCCCCCUAGUUCCUCUCUCCCCUCUCCCCCUAGUUCCUCUCUCCCCUCUCCCCCUAGUUCCUCUCUCCCCUCUCCCCCUAGUUGCUCUCUCCCCUCUCCCCCUAGUUCCUCUCUCCCCUCUCCCCCUCGCUCCUCUCUCCCCUCUCCCCC